rnacentral:rRNA from 1 species
UAAGGAAUAUUGGUCAAUGGACGCAAGUCUGAACCAGCCAUGCCGCGUGAAGGAUGAAGGUCCUCUGGAUUGUAAACUUCUUUUAUAGGGGGCGAAAAAAGGGAAAUCUUUCUCACUUGACAGUACCCUAUGAAUAAGCACCGGCUAACUCCGUGCCAGCAGCCGCGGUAAUACGGAGGGUGCAAGCGUUAUCCGGAUUCACUGGGUUUAAAGGGUGCGUAGGCGGGCGUAUAAGUCAGUGGUGAAAUCCUGGAGCUUAACUCCAGAACUGCCAUUGAUACUAUAUGUCUUGAAUAUGGUGGAGGUAAGCGGAAUAUGUCAUGUAGCGGUGAAAUGCAUAGAUAUGACAUAGAACACCUAUUGCGAAGGCAGCUUACUACGCCUAUAUUGACGCUGAGGCACGAAAAGCGUGGGGAUCAAACAGGAUUAGAUACCCUGGUAGUCCACGCCCUAAACGAUGAUUACUCGACGUGUGCGAU